AACUGAUACUACCUGCGGGAACCUGCGGAGGGAUCAUUACAGGACUCGCAAGACUCCUACAACCCUGUGAACUUAACUAUAAGCACGUUGCUUCGGCGGGUGUCUCGGCGAGGGUUCUCCCUCCCCGGGGCGCUAAGCCCGCCGGCAGCCUACUAUACUCUGUCUCUUUGCGUUGGCAUCUCGAGUACAAACAAACAAGUUAAAACUUUUAACAAUGGAUCUCUAGAUCGGAAGAGCACA
rnacentral:misc_RNA from 1 species